UGAUAAAGUCUCUGUGUCCUGGGGCAUCAAUGAUGGUCACAUAAUACUUGCUGAAUCUCCCUGUGGAAA